GACGAACGCUGGCGGCGUGCUUAACACAUGCAAGUCGAACGGGAUUUAGUAGACAGAAGCCUCGGCUAAAGAAUACGAAUGAGAGUGGCGAACGGGUGAGUAACGCGUGAGCAACCUGCCUAUGGCAGUGGGAUAGCCUCGGGAAACCGGGAUUAAUACCGCAUAAAAGCGUAGAAAAACAUGUUUCAACGGUCAAAGAUUUAUCGGUCAUAGAUGGGCUCGCGUCUGAUUAGCUAGUUGGUGAGAUAACAGCCCACCAAGGCGACGAUCAGUAGCCGGUCUGAGAGGGUGACCGGCCACAUUGGAACUGGGACACGGUCCCAACUCCUACGGGAGGCAGCAGUGGGGAAUAUUGCACCAUGGGGGAAACCCUGAUGCAGCGACGCCGCGUGAACGAAGAAGGUAUUCGUAUCGUAAAGUUCUGUCCUAUGGGAAGAUAAUGACAGUACCAUAGGAGAAAGCUCCGGCUAAAUACGUG
rnacentral:rRNA from 1 species